GACGGACGCUGGCGGCGUGCUUAACACAUGCAAGUCGAACGGAAAGGCCCCAGCUUGCUGGGGUACUCGAGUGGCGAACGGGUGAGUAACACGUGGGUGAUCUGCCCUGCACUCUGGGAUAAGCCUGGGAAACUGGGUCUAAUACCGGAUAGGACCGUGCUUUAGUGUGUGCGGUGGAAAGUUUUUCGGUGCAGGAUGAGCCCGCGGCCUAUCAGCUUGUUGGUGGGGUAAUGGCCUACCAAGGCGGCGACGGGUAGCCGGCCUGAGAGGGUGUACGGCCACAUUGGGACUGAGACACGGCCCAGACUCCUACGGGAGGCAGCAGUGGGGAAUAUUGCACAAUGGGCGCUAGCCUGAUGCAGCGACGCCGCGUGGGGGAUGACGGCCUUCGGGUUGUAAACCCCUUUCGGCAGGGACGAAGCUUUUGUGACGGUACCUGCAUAAGAAGCACCGGCUAACUACGUG
rnacentral:rRNA from 1 species